rnacentral:rRNA from 1 species
AGCGGCGGACGGGUGAGUAACGCGUGGGAACGUACCCUCUUCUGCGGGAUAGCCACUGGAAACGGUGAGUAAUACCGCAUACGCCCUUCGGGGGAAAGAUUUAUCGGAGGAGGAUCGGCCCGCGUUGGAUUAGGUAGUUGGUGGGGUAAUGGCCUACCAAGCCUACGAUCCAUAGCUGGUUUUAGAGGAUGAUCAGCCACACUGGGACUGAGACACGGCCCAGACUCCUACGGGAGGCAGCAGUGGGGAAUCUUAGACAAUGGGCGCAAGCCUGAUCUAGCCAUGCCGCGUGAGUGACGAAGGCCUUAGGGUCGUAAAGCUCUUUCGCCAGAGAUGAUAAUGACAGUAUCUGGUAAAGAAACCCCGGCUAACUCCGUGCCAGCAGCCGCGGUAAUACGGAGGGGGUUAGCGUUGUUCGGAAUUACUGGGCGUAAAGCGCACGUAGGCGGAUUGGAAAGUAUGGGGUGAAAUCCCAGGGCUCAACCCUGGAACUGCCUCAUAAACUCCCAGUCUGGAGUUCGAGAGAGGUGAGUGGAAUUCCGAGUGUAGAGGUGAAAUUCGUAGAUAUUCGGAGGAACACCAGUGGCGAAGGCGGCUCACUGGCUCGAUACUGACGCUGAGGUGCGAAAGUGUGGGGAGCAAAC